rnacentral:rRNA from 1 species
GACGAACGCUGGCGGCGUGCUUAACACAUGCAAGUCGAACGGUAAGGCCCUUCGGGGUACACGAGUGGCGAACGGGUGAGUAACACGUGGGUGAUCUGCCCUGCACUUCGGGAUAAGCCUGGGAAACUGGGUCUAAUACCGGAUAGGACUCCGGACUGCAUGGUCUGGGGUGGAAAGCUUUUGCGGUGUGGGAUGGGCCCGCGGCCUAUCAGCUUGUUGGUGGGGUGAUGGCCUACCAAGGCGACGACGGGUAGCCGGCCUGAGAGGGUGACCGGCCACACUGGGACUGAGAUACGGCCCAGACUCCUACGGGAGGCAGCAGUGGGGAAUAUUGCACAAUGGGCGCAAGCCUGAUGCAGCGACGCCGCGUGAGGGAUGACGGCCUUCGGGUUGUGAACCUCUUUCAGCAUCGACGAAGCGAAGGUGACGGUAGGUGCAGAAGAAGGACCGGCCAACUACGUGCCAGCCGCCGCAGUAA